UUGUUGCGUCAAUCUCCGGUCACAAGCCGCACAGAAAACUCAAGGCCCAUAUCCACCCCGGACAGUCGGAGCGCACCCAGACUGCAGGGGGCGACGAUGCGGCUAAUGGAGAUUCCACUCACAGGAAGUGCCUGCGUACGAACAGGAAAUGCAUGGCAUAAAAUGUUUGUGGAGAGCUCGGAUGGCCCUCUCACUCGGCCCUGAGGAAAAGGACACUGUGGCCACGGCUCCUAAUCUCCCAGAGACGCAACUGGUUAUCAACCUGCUCUGUUCUUUGUCUGAUCCACCAAACCACCCUUAAGAGGAAUAAAGGAUCAUAAAAUAAACAGUUCUCGAGUUGUCCUUUGUGUCCACCGGAGAGAAGGCUCUUUUCAAGUUUGGGCAGAGCCGUGAUUAAUCAGAAAAAACACACGAAACUUGACAGUUGAUAACCAGCGUGGCAGCAAGAACAAGGAUCAAAGGCCUGAAGUCAAGCUGUCGACGCAAAGGAAGAAUUGACUGGAAACGUUUUCACCAUGGCAAAGGAAACUCUUGGGAAAACGGUCAAGCAACUGAAGCAAGAGCGAACCUUGGCUAAAUCUGCUUUCACUAAGCAAGCAAACUACCUGAACAAAGCUUCAGAUGGGAUGAUUAAACAUGAACUUCUAGAAGAGUUCAGCAAGCUCAGUUCCUUGGCAAGGCAUGUCAGCGAUGCUAAUGAAGACUACAGGGCUAGACUACUGGCUGAAGUAGGAACUGAAGAGGACGAAGAAGUAAAGCUCAACGAGCACCAGCAGGCUGAGCUUGAAAGGACAAUGGAAGAGUGCGACAUGAGACUGGGGAACAUCCGUGAGGCAGUCCAAUCCAACCUCUGGCUAAGAUAUGGUAAAGAGGAGGUAGACUUUGCAAUCCAAGAAGCGGAAAAAGCCUGUGACAGAGCCCAAGCAAGCCCCAUCACUGCUAUCAAUCGGGACGGCUAUGAACUACAGCUGGAGAGAGCGAGGAGGCUGAUCCAUAAUACAACUAUAAGCCUGAAAGACUGGGAAAAAUGGAUUCCACAUGUUCAGGCAGCAGACCUGAAGGGCAGAUUGAAAGACCUGAGAAUAUUUGGGAGCAACCUUGAGGCCAGGAGAGCAGAAUUCCUCACCGCACAAAGAAUUGCAGAAGACGAAAGAAGAGGUCCGGACCAACCGCUUCAACCAACAGCAGUCCCACAGCCUGUGGUGAGAAUAAAGCCAACAUGUCUACCCAAAUUCACUGGGAUUAGGAGAAAUUUCCAUAGAUGGCAGAGAGACUGGGAAAGUCUGCAAAAGCAGGGAG
ensembl:lncRNA